rnacentral:rRNA from 1 species
UACGAGUGCCCCGAGCGUUAUCCGGAAUCAUUGGGCGUAAAGGGUGUGUAGGUGGCAGUGUUAGUCUAUUGUUAAAACCUGGGGCUUAACCCCAGAUGUGCGAUAGAUACGGCACAGCUAGAGGAUGGCAGGGAUGUAUGGAACUCAUGGAGUAGGGGUGAAAUCCGUUGAUAUCAUGGGGAACACCAAAAGCGAAGGCAGUACAUUGGGCCACUCCUGACACUGAAACACGAAAGCGUGGGUAGCGAACAGG